UGGGGAAUAUUGGACAAUGGGCGCAAGCCUGAUCCAGCGACGCCGCGUGUGUGAAGAAGGCCUGCGGGUUGUAAAGCACUUUCGAUGGGAACGAAAUGUGCCGGGUUAAUACCCCGGUAAGCUGACGUUACUCAAUGAAGAAGCACCGGCUAACUCUGUGCCAGCAGCCGCGGUAAUACAGAGGGUGCGAGCGUUAAUCGGAAUUACUGGGCGUAAAGCGCACGUAGGUGGCGACGUAAGUCGGGUGUGAAAGCCCCGGGCUCAACCUGGGAAUUGCAUUCGAGACUGCAUUGCUGGAGUACGGAAGAGGAGGGCGGAAUUCCCGGUGUAGCGGUGAAAUGCGUAGAUAUCGGGAGGAACAUCAGUGGCGAAGGCGGCCCUCUGGUCCAGUACUGACACUGACGCUGAGGCGCGAAAGCCAGGGGAGCAAACGGGAUUAGAUACCCCCGUAGUCCCUGAGCGGGCUGGCAAGGCGCAU
rnacentral:rRNA from 1 species